AUCGACGGGGAGGUUUGGCACCUCGAUGUCGGCUCAUCGCAUCCUGGGGCUGUAGUCGGUCCCAAGGGUUGGGCUGUUCGCCCAUUAAAGCGGUACGCGAGCUGGGUUCAGAACGUCGUGAGACAGUUCGGUCCCUAUCCGUCGUGGGCGUAGGAAAUUUGAGAGGAGCUGUCCUUAGUACGAGAGGACCGGGAUGGACGCACCGCUGGUGUACCAGUUGUUCUGCCAAGGGCAUAGCUGGGUAGCUAUGUGCGGAAGGGAUAAGUGCUGAAAGCAUCUAAGCAUGAAGCCCCCCUCAAGAUGAGAUUUCCCAUAGCGUAAGCUAGUAAGAUCCCUGAAAGAUGAUCAGGUUGAUAGGUUCGAGGUGGAAGCAUGGUGACAUGUGGAGCUGACGAAUACUAAUAGAUCGAGGACUUAACCAU
rnacentral:rRNA from 1 species